GAUGAACGCUGGCGGCGUGCCUAAUACAUGCAAGUCGAGCGGAAGGGCGCGAAGCUUGAGUCUCUGUCGUUAGGGGCGGACGGGUGAGUAACACGUGGAUAACCUCCCUCUAAGACUGGGAUAACUUCGGGAAACCGGAGCUAAUACCGGAGAAUAUUUUGAACCGCGUGGUUCAAGAGUGAAAGACGGUCUGGCUGGCGCUCAUAGAUGGAUCCGCGCUGCAUUAGCUAGUAGGUAAGGUAACGGCUUACCGAGGCAACGAUGCAUAGCCGACCUGAGAGGGUGGUCGGCCACCCUGGAACUGAGACGCCGUCCUGGGGCCUGAGGGACGCCGCAGUCGGCAAUCGUCCGCAGUGGUCGAAAGCAUUACGGAGCGAGCGCGCGUGUGUUAUGGAGGCGCUCGGUUCGUAAUGCUGUGCUAUGAGGGAUGAACAUAUGUCGAAGGAACUGUGGAGAUCUUGACGGUACCUAGUCAGAAAGCCCCGGCUAACUACGUG
rnacentral:rRNA from 1 species